UGCCGUGGAGCUGGUGGGUGGAGUAGUUGUAGAGGAAGAGGGGCAGGCCCGGCCUGAUGGCCCUCACCGAAUCCCUGUACCUGGACGGCAGCCCUGCAGCAGAGAGUGAUUCAGUAUUUGGAUUGGAUGCAAUUGGAAUGGAGGAAUAAAAAUCAAAACUUGGGAGUUGAUCUUGAUUCGAUUCAGUAUAUAUCCGAUGCUGGAAUAUGUACGUAUAUGUAGGGAAUAAUCGAUCCAAUUCCAAUCAAUCAUCAAUCAUACCGAAGAGCUGCCUCUUGAGGUUCUCCUCCAUGGUGUCGUUGUUGCAGACGAAGAUGUAUCCGCCGAUGGCCUCGCCCCUGGGCAGCGCCUCCGACGCCGGAAGGCUCUUGAACCUCUUGUCGACGCCGGCGCCGUUGCCGUUGCCGGAGUUCUUGUGCUUCUUGUCGUGGUGGGCGGCGGCGGUGGAGUUCUUCUUGCCACCGACGACGGUGUUGUUGUUGUUGUUGUUGGCUGGCCUGCCGACGGACUUGUUGAAGUAGCUCUUGACGGCGUCGUUGUUGGCGUUGGCGUUGUUCUUGUUGAGGUAGUAGUCGGUCACGCUCAUGGUCUUGCCGGCGGCGGCGUUGGCGUUGUUCUUGUUGAGGUAGUAGUCGGUCACGCUGAUGGUCUUGCCGGCGUUGGCGUUGGUGGUGUUCUUGUUGAGGUAGUAGUCGGUCACGCUGAUAGCGGCGGCGUUGUUGGAACCAACACCUGCACCUGCACCGGCGGCGUUGGCGUUGUAGCGGUCGGCGCUGGUGGUUGUGGCGUUGCCGAAGGCGAGCUUGGCGGAUCCGAUGAGGCCCGGGGAGUUGGUAUUGCCGCCGGGGAAGGAGGAGGAGGGAUCCGGUGGCGAGGUGGUGGAGGACCAGAUGGAGUCGGCGAUGGAGAGGUUGGAGAAGUUGUUGUGCAGGCGCAGCUGGUCGCUGAAGUUCCAGAACUCGCGGUCGUAGGAGGCGUCCAUGGCGGAUGGAUGGAUCGGGAGGUCGGCGGUCGGGUCCUCCUCACUACCUCUCCUCCCCAACCAAACCAACUGGUGAAUGGAAGAAGAGGAUGGAUGCG
rnacentral:lncRNA from 1 species